UUUCCGGUGAUGAUUUCGAAGAGGCCACACCCGAUCCCAUCCCGAACUCGGAAGUUAAGCUCUUCGGAGCCGAUGGUACUGCACGGGUAGCCGUGUGGGAGAGUAGGACGUCGCCGGGAUUA
rnacentral:rRNA from 1 species